rnacentral:rRNA from 1 species
AAGUUGCCAAAUUGUCCACUGUUCAGAUGGACGUUGAAGACGAAGCUGUCUGGCGUGGACGAUGUUUUCCGGAUUGGAAUUUCCAUAGUGCAGGCGAUGCGGAAAUGGACGACCUGGAUGAGCUUGAAGAGGUGGACGAUGAAGAGGAGAACGACGAUGAAAACGGUGCUUCUUCCAAUGCGAACAGUGCUGCAACGGCGACGAAACGUCGUUCUGCAACUACGCGGGUGUUGUCCGCUGACGGUCCGAGGUACAUUUGUCAGCUGUGCAAAAGUCCGGUGUCCAUGUACGCGAGUUCGUUGUACGUGCAUGUGAAAAAUCACAUGAAUUACAAGCCGUACUGUUGCGGAAACUGUGACUACAAAUCACCGGUGAAAUCCAAAGUUAGGCGGCACAUUCAAAACGCUCACAAAAAUGUAUCAGCGACGAUCAACUAUUUCCCAACUCCGGGCAUUGAUCACGAAGUGCUCAGGUGGAAGAAGAAAUGCUUUCCAGAAGUGACAUCGUUCGCCACGUUGGCUAACGACAAAGUUCCUUGUUUUGUUUGUAAAACUGACGUUGCUGAUACAUUUUUAUAAAAAAUCAUCUAGACUCAAAACCCUACCAUUGCGGCUAUUGCUUGUACAAGAGUUGUUUACGGGGAGAGACCAGACGUCACGUGGUGCGUCAGCAUCUCGGCUUGCCGGUCAAUGUGGUCUUUGUGGACAAGGAAGUGGCGACCAAAGAGAAAGUGACGCGCAUGAUUGAACAAUGCUUUGGCACUGCUGGCACGAGUAAGAAGUCAGCUACAUCGAUGCAGAAACAAGGAGCAGCAAAUACUGCUGUUGCGAAGGGCAACAACAGCUCGACCGUUGAAGAGAAAAAGGGAAAUGGUAAAAUUGCACUUGGCAACUUAACAAGUCGUAGUAGUGGAUCGUCGUCAAACACCACUACAACAGCUAGCAGUUCAACAGCCGUGACAGCGACAAUAGCCAGUGGUCGUCAGUCGUCAAGUAGUGGUCAACAACGCCAACAGUCGGCAAAUUCAACCACUGUCAGCAAUGCUAACGUUGCUGGCUGCUGCUGCUGCUGCUGCUAUUGUUUACUUGCUGUUGUUGUGUGUUGUUGUACACACACACCCACACAAUUCUGUGUGCAGUUGUCGUAUGUUUUCGAAAGGGAAUCCGGUUGAUAUUCCGGAACCGAGUAACGGAGACAAAGAGUAGCGCUUUAAUCUUCCGGUUGGCGUUCAACUCAAUCGCGCGGUAACGCAAGCGAACUCGGAAAAUGACCGUCGUGAGUUUCGAAAAGAGUUUUCUUUUCUUUUUAAGGGACGCAUUCCCUGGAACCGGGUUGUCCGGAGAUAGGGAUUCUGGUAUCCAUAAAACGCCGACUCUUUCACGGUGUUCGGAGCGCUCUCGUCGGUACGUGAAAAUCCGAGCGACGCCUGGUAAAUCUCGUACUUGGUCGUACUGAUAUCCGCAGCAGGUCUCCAAGGUGAAUAGCCUCUGGCCGAUAGAAUAAUGUAGGUAAGGGAAGUCGGCAAAACGGAUCCGUAACUUCGGAACAAGGAUUGGCUCUAAGGGCUGGGCCGAUCGGGCUGAGGUUUCAAGCGUGCAGUGUAUGCUUGGCUGAGCUGUGCUGAGGAUUGAUUAGCUUGGUGCCGUUUGUUGACCCAAGCGGCUGUCCAGGUGGUCAUGUCUGAAGCAAAGCUGGCCGACAGACCGGCACGUGCAGAACCUGAGCUGCGCGGCUGUCAGUUUAUUUGUACAGACCGUUUCGGUCGGCAUUCAACAGCCAACUUAGAACUGGCACGGACACAAGGAAUCUGACUGUAUAAUUAAAACAAAGCAUUGCGAUGGCCGAUGAUCGGUGUUGACGCAAUGUGAUUUCUGCCCAGUGCUCUGAAUGUCAAAGUGAAGAAAUUCAACCAAGCGCGGGUAAACGGCGGGAGUAACUAUGACUCUCUUAAGGUAGCCAAAUGCCUCGUCAUCUAAUUAGUGACGCGUAUGAAUGGAUCAACAAGAUUCCUUCUGUCCCUAUCUACUAUCUAGCGAAACCACAGCCAAGGGAACGGGCUUGGCAAAAUCAGCGGGGAAAGAAGACCCUGUUGAGCUUGACUCUAGUCUGACUCUGUGAAGAGACAUGAAAGGUGUAGCAUAGGUGGGAGGCUGCAGCCGGGCACUGCUUGCGCGGUGUCUCUGUGGUCGCCAAUGAAAUACCACUACUUUGAUCGUUUCUUUACUUAUUCGGUAAAGCGAAAAAAUUGUGGCCAAUUUUGCGGUCUCGCCGCUGUUGGUCAUUGUUUUAAUGUUGGAUUGAAGCUUCGUUUGUAGCCGUCGUUUUGUGUCGCCGUUUGACGUGCAUUCGCAGUGGUGUGGGUUUCUUGGCUCGCGCGCGGCUAGUGUCGUCAACAGCGGACGACCGGCGAUUGGUUUGAAGUGAUUCGCUCCGGAAACAGUGUCAGACGGGGAGUUUGACUGGGGCGGUACAUCUGUUAAACGAUAACGCAGGUGUCCUAAGGUAAGCUCAGCGAGGACAGAAACCUCGCCUAGAGUAAACGGGCACAAGCUUACUUGAUUUUGAUUUCCAGUACGAAUAAAAACCGCGAAAGCGUGGCCUAUCGAUCCUUUUGAUUGUGUAGAUUUCACGCAAGAGGUGUCAGAAAAGUUACCACAGGGAUAACUGGCUUGUGGCAGCCAAGCGUCCAUAGCGACGUUGCUUUUUGAUCCUUCGAUGUCGGCUCUUCCUAUCAUUGCGAAGCAGAAUUCGCCAAGCGUUGGAUUGUUCACCCACCAAUAGGGAACGUGAGCUGGGUUUAGACCGUCGUGAGACAGGUUAGUUUUACCCUACUGAUGACAAGUCGUUGCGAUAGUAAUCCUGCUCAGUACGAGAGGAACCGCGGGAUCAGACAUUUGGUUCAUGCGCUCGGCUGAAAGGCCGGUGGCGCGAAGCUAGCAUCUGCAAGAUUAUGACUGAACGCCUCUAAGUCAGAAUCUUUUCUAGUCAUUGGCAACGAUAAGUUGCGUCCGGACUCGAUGCGAGGAAACGACUAGGCUUUGUUGU